rnacentral:rRNA from 1 species
UACGUAGGGUGCAAGCGUUGUCCGGAAUUAUUGGGCGUAAAGAGCUUGUAGGUGGUUUGUCGCGUUGUUCGUGAAAUCUCACGGCUCAACUGUGAGCGUGCGGGCGAUACGGGCAGACUAGAGUACUGCAGGGGAGACUGGAAUUCCUGGUGUAGCGGUGGAAUGCGCAGAUAUCAGGAGGAACACCGGUGGCGAAGGCGGGUCUCUGGGCAGUAACUGACGCUGAGAAGCGAAAGCGUGGGGAGCGAACAGG